CCUACGGGCGGCAGCAGUGGGGAAUAUUGGACAAUGGGGGCAACCCUGAUCCAGCCAUGCCGCGUGUGUGAAGGAGGCCCUCGGGUUGUAAAGCACUUUCAGUGAGGAAGAACGCCUGGUGGUUAAUACCCAUCAGGAAAGACAUCACUCACAGAAGAAGCACCGGCUAACUCCGUGCCAGCAGCCGCGGUAAUACGGAGGGUGCGAGCGUUAAUCGGAAUUACUGGGCGUAAAGCGCGCGUAGGUGGCUUGAUAAGCCGGUUGUGAAAGCCCCGGGCUCAACCUGGGAACGGCAUCCGGAACUGUCAAGCUAGAGUGCAGGAGAGGAAGGUAGAAUUCCCGGUGUAGCGGUGAAAUGCGUAGAGAUCGGGAGGAAUACCAGUGGCGAAGGCGGCCUUCUGGACUGACACUGACACUGAGGUGCGAAAGCGUGGGUAGCAAACAGGAUUAGAUACCCCUGUAGUC
rnacentral:rRNA from 1 species